GGCCUGUAAACCUCUUCAGCUCUUAGCUGGCAAGAGAAUGCAAGAACAAAACGCUUAAUGUUCUUAAUGCGUAUUUGAUAGACUGGAUAUUUCCACCACCACCACAUUUCCCCUCAGCACUAAAAGAAAAAACGCGAACACGCACGCACGCACGCCAAGGUCUUUGUGCCCUAAGGUUGUCAUUUCUCUGCCUCCAGCCUCAGCAGCCGCGUUCCCGGAAGCUUGUGGGUGAGAAGUGAUGAGGACCGAGGAGAGGCAGGGAAGAGGAAGGAAGGAGAUAAGAGUGCCUGGCCAAAUAGAAGUUCUCUCCUGCCAAAGGUGUAGCCAGUACUGUAGCAGACUGAGUUGCCAUGUGCCAAACCUAAAAAUACAAUGAUGAAAAAGAAAGUCGUAUUCUCUACCCUGAUUAACUUCACAGCAGAGGAAGGGAGACAGUGUCGUGGUAAGUGCUCUGCUAGGGGAAAUCCAGGAUGUCACGGGAAUGCAUGGGAAGGGCACACAAGCCAGGCAUGCCCCAUCAGGAAAACUUUGUAGAGGAACUGACAUCGAAAGUCUGAAUAGGAAUUGAGACCAUUAAAACAGGAAAGAGGAUGGAAACAUCCAAUGGGAUAGGAUAGUUUAUCCAAGGACUGAAGGAAGUUAGGUAUCAGCCAAUUUGGUCAAGUUACACUGCAGUAACAAAUGACCCCUGAAUCUCCAUGGCAUAUAGUAAUAAAGAUUUACUUCUCAGUUAGGUUACCAUUUGGAGAAAAGAUUUUAGGGGAUGCUAAAGUCUGGAAAAAUGAUGGCAGGAAGUUAAACUGAGGGAAACUAGGUAGAAGCUGAGGUAGUCUGGAGAAGGUAGCUUGAACUAAAGUAGUGGCAGUAAGGAUAAAGGGAAGAGGACAGAAGAAGGGUAUAUGGAAAAUAGUCAACGGUUCCUCCUGGUUGUGGGUGGAAGGUGAAGGGGUCAUGAUAAUGCUUUUAUAGAGAGAAAUUUACAGUAACAUCAAUUUAAUGUCAUAAUUUUAGGAAUGUCUUACUACUAAUCUCAUAGAUAACAUUUUUUCCUAAAUCUCAGUGUUCAGUAUUAUUCUUUGUGCCCCAAUUCCUGGUAUAGGUAAUAGUUAGAAGCACAAUUCUUGACAGUGAAGUUUCUGUGAUCCCAAGUCACAGAUGAACACAAGUCUAACUUCACCCUAAAACCUAA